ensembl:miRNA
CUUGUACUCACUUUGUAGCCCAGGCUGGUCUUCAACUCACAGUGAUCCUCCUGCCUCAGCCUCCUGAGUGCUAGGAU